rnacentral:lncRNA from 1 species
AGGGGGUUCCCAUAGAAACGCUUUUCUGCGGUCCAGUCUAGGGGGUCUGAGAUUGGCGGGGAUGGGCAGCAGCGGCAGGUGGCCUUGGCUUUUGCUGCAGCCGUCAACGACCUAUCAUUGGGGUCCUGCGUAAGGUCCGGCUGGCUGGGACUUGGCUGUGGGUGGGAUGGACUGGCUGCCGGACCGAGUGCCCUGCAGUUGGUAGGAGUAUGAGGCAGAGUGAUGCACACCCGGGCGCCCAGCAUCGUUCUAAUUGCCGGAGACAUUGCCUCAGACUGUGCGCUGCUAGAGGCUGCGUUCCUGAGCAGGAAGCCCGUUUCCUGGGAUUGGAACUACCCUUCUUGGCCAGCGGGAAGUCCCCAAGGACGGAGUCGAAAGGUCAAAUCUUAUCUGUCAGUGCUGUGUGACAGCAUCGCAACGGGAUCUGCAGAACCUGAACUCGUGUGCAGUUUCCUCAAGGGCAGAGAUUUUGUCCAUCUUGUCCACUACUAUAUGCCAAGUGUUUGGAACAGUUUGCACAGAGGAAUGGUUCCUGAAUGAAUUGAAUGCAUGGAUGAAGUUUCUUCACCUUUGGCCACCUUGGAUACUGUUUUCUUAGCUUGGAAUGUGUUUUCCUCACUUCAUUCAAAGGACCAGCUUAAACAUCACCUCCUCAUAGAGACCUACACUGUGCCUGUGUCUUGGUUUAGCUCCCUUGCCUACUUUUCCUUUAAGACACUUAUCACAAUGAUGAUGGUAUUAUUUAUGUGAUCAUUUAUGUAAUGACU